GCUGUACUUUCUUGUAAUUUUGAGACCUUGAUACUAUCCAAGCUCGGCCUCUUCGUGGCUUUCUUGCUGUUCGUUACUACAUAGUAUCACUUCAUUUUUCCAACAAAUAGACUCUUCGUAUCAUAGACAAAUAGUACUAAUAAAAAGAAAAGAUCGGAGCUAUCACCAUAUCUCUGUACAUGCCGGAAAUAAAAAGCAAUAUCAAUGACUCUAUUCAACAUCUGUGGUUAUUCCUCGUCAUUACUAUCUUCUUCCUCAUCUUGCGCAGGUUUGGCAUUAGCUUCAACCCACUCUCUCGCCCUUGCCUUCGCCUUAUCCUGACCAGCCGCAUCGCCUAUUCUCUGUUCGAUAGUUAACCAUUUCUUGAACAGGAAUCUGCGCUAUCAUUAAUAUCCACCUAUCAACAUUGUCGUGGGAUACUUACUUGGCUUUCUUGCUAGUCAACUUCUGCUCGAGAGCUCUGUCCAUCAAGCCUCUCACACCUUGGAUAUCUCCCACUUUAGCAACUUGAUCGAUAUAGACACCCCAGAGAUCCAAACGUUUGGGGAAUCUGUCUACAAGCCCUUCGAAAAGAGUCUUGCCUCGCUCUGCGUCACCGUGUUUGAAUUCGAGGAGCGCCAUUUUUUCAAUAGUCUCGACAUCUACAAGCACGACUUCAUGCUCCUCGGUAAAAGUGCUCGAGCCGCUUCCACAUCACCUUUGUUGAGGUAGAAUUCAGCAAAACGGGUCCAGGAUUCAGGAGAUUAUGACAAGAUGUGCUACUCACUUCACCCUUUCCGGCUACUUGCAAAGCCUCAGCAUAUCGCAUGUACACCGUCCGCUUGUCGUUAUAUUGAGCCGCCUCUUCGAAUACCUUCUCAGUUGCAGACACGGUCCCGAAGGCAAUCUCCAAAUUGAUCAGAGCCAUCCAGACAUUCAAUUUCUCCUCUUCUUCUCGGUAUGAGAUCUUCUCCAAAGCUUGCCUGCCAAUUCUCCUUGCCUUCUCAAUCUCAUGAAGCUGAAGGUGGAAAGACAUGUACUGAAUCCAGAGAAAGGAGGAAUUGGGGGAAGCAAGGAGAGCACGCUCGUAUUCUGCUGUGGAUGAAGGCCUAGAAGAGGGAGCAGUAGCAGUAAGGUCAACAGCUUUUGAUUUGCCCUUGGAUUUGGCAGGAGCAACAGCCUCUUCAUCAGAGUCGGACUCGUCGUCUGAUUCAGGUGCAGCAGCGAGAGCUUCACCGGUCCAAUCAAAACCGGAACCAAGGUUCAAGGCAGUUCUGGGGGCCGGCUUAGAGUUCUGGGGGGCGAUAUCUUCUUCGUCGGACGUUGCUUCUCCAUCUUCUUCAUCAAGUUCCAGUGCCUCCUCGUCCUCAUCUUCCUGCCCUUCCCCUGAUUCUUCAUCGUCACUUUCCAACUCUUGAUCCUCUUCAUUGAACUGCUCAUCAUUCUCCUCUUCGGCCUCAUCGUCUUCUUCUUCGCUCUUCUCUCCACCCUCAAACUCUUCGCCGAAAUAGCUCGCCUUGAUGCCGAACGAGAUCUUCCCCUUCUCCGUAUCAAUAGAGACGAUCUUAGCCUUCACCUGAUCACCCUCUCUAAAGCCCUUUAGGGCUUGUGCAACAUCCGCCUUCCUGUUGUCUGUGACUUCACUUUUGUGGCACAAGCCACUAACGUUUGAACCUUCGAUCUUCAAAAACAUCCCAUAAGCUUCGACCUUCCUUACAACAGCAACGACUUUUUGGCCCUCUUCGAAAUCGGAAAGAGAAAGCAAAGCGGUCUUCUUCGCAGACUUUGAAGGGUUUUUACGGAGGGUCAUCUCAAUAGAGUUAGAUCUGGGAUUGAUGGAAAGAAUCUUGCCAGAGACGAGUUGAUUGAUUUCGAAACGAGAUUCCCAAUCCUUGACAUACUGCUUAAAUCGUUAGUACAACAUCCUUGAUACAGCAGUAUUAACAUACCUCAUCAAAGAGUUCCUUGAUCAUGAUUCUCGCGGUAACAUUCCUUCCCAAGGAAACAAAGACUCCGUGGCCAGCAAUGUUCUUAACCAGACCUCUAACGCUUUCACCUUGCUUCAAGUCAUCCACGGUGUUGACUUCCCUGUCAACUACGUUUUCCUUACCUUCCACUCGAGAAAGACGAGUAGAAAGAUCAAUGGCACGCUUAGACCUGUUGACAGCAAGGACGUAACACUUGACCUCUUCGCCAACUGUAAGGGGACCACGACCGGCGGCGAGGGCAAGGUCAUCAGAGGAGUCGCAGGAAUGCACACGGCCACGAAGAUUGUUGGGGAGCUGGACCAUGUACCCCUGAGAAUUUUGUUCUUGAACGGUUCCAGUGAUAAUCUGCCCCACUUCAAUUGCAUCAAUGGCCUUGACAUGUGCCGAAAUACCAGAAGGAGCUUUGUCCUCCUUCUUCGCCUUUUCCUUCUUCGCAGCAACAGUCUUCUUGAUGUUAACAAUGAUUAAACCAGAGACGGGGUUCUUGGACACGACAACCAAGUCAUCAAUCUUCUCCCCUUCCUUGAGACUUCCUCGGAGCUCCUCAAUGCCUGUAUGUCUCUGGUUACUCAAGUUGCUCAAACUCAACAAUGCAGUUAAACCGUUACCAUCAAGCUUCACGACGACUUGCUCAGUGUGAACUUGAGAGACGGUACCAGAGACAGCCUCGCCAACCUCAAGCUUCUCAGCGGCAGUUGCGGGUGCAGUAGGAGAAGCUUGCUUAGCAGAGACAACAAUCCGAGAAGCAGAGGGGUCAACGGUGAUGACACGGACAGUGAGGGGCUUGCCAACGUAGAACGCCUCAGAAAGAUCUUUGAUGUGAGUUUGACUACAGUAAAAAUAUCAGAAUUUGCAGUUUGAAUGUACAAGGUUGACAUACCUGCACUCCGAAUGAGGCAUAAAGGCCUUCAAACCAGCGAACAACUCUACAAUGACACCCUUAUCGACGAUUUUUAACACGGAUCCAAGAGUUAGUUCUCCAACCUUCAGAUCGUCAAAGCCCUGAGGGACUGCCAAAUCUGACUCGAGAAAUGUCUUUUUCAAAGUCAAGACAACUCUGUUCCUGGUGGGCUCGAGGUAGAGAACACGGGCCUUGACAGAAGCUUCUGGCUUGAACCUUUUUUGGGGAUGCUUCAAUCUGAUGUCGGCGUAAUGAGUGGGGUGAACGAUACCAUCAACAUUGCCAUGGACGUUGACAAACAACAUCUUAUCGGUUAAUCGACGAAUAGUACCCUUUAAUUGCUGACCGAUCUUGAGCUCGCUGACUUGCAUGAAAAGCUGAGAAAGGACAGAUUGUUCAAAUGAGAGAAGGAGCACACCGUCCAUGGGAGAGUGACCAAUGACACGAGCUCGGUGCAGGGUACCGGCUUUGAAUUGAGGGGUGGCGUUAGAAAGCACAGGGAUACGCUCAUCGGCCAAGUGGCUGAUAUGGACGAACCCUUCCAAACCGUCCUGAGUCCUGACCACGACACCCCAGUCAUUUAAAACUCUUGUGACCUUAACACUUUGAUACACUUUACCGAUGGGGAUAGCGAGCUCGAGAGGAGUAUCAUCGCCCUUUUGGAUAGGGCUGGUAAAGUUCAAGACAUGGGGAAGGGCUGAAAGAGCGAAAGAAUGGGGAUUGGCGGCGAGAUUAUCAUAGAUGACUCGAGCGCGGAUCUUCUUACCGAUCUUGUACUUGUCUUCAAUGUCAAUUUCCCCAAGAGGAAGAUGGGCAAGGUCGAUAGUACCGUCGAAGAAACCAGCAACUUUGACAUUCAAACCAGAAGGAACCACCGCGGUGAUCAGAGCAUUUACGGAGUGGCCAGGAAGGAUAGAACCGACGGUGGACACUUCGCUGAUCUGUGAACGAGCGAUAUCUUGCUGGUCCAAGGAAAGAUGGACCACACGGCCUCCAGCCGCAAUAGAAGAGAUGGUGGCGGAAAGGAGUUGACCGGGGACGAGUGCUUGGGCGGGAACAGAUUUGGCCACUUCGUCUUUAGAAACGAAACCUUCAACGGAGGAUCCGUCCUGAGCAUCCAAGCCAACACCCACUAUCCAUCCCUUGUCUUCUUCAGAUUUAACUUCACCCACCAGGUAGUAACCAGUCUCAAGGUCCUUCUUAGCAACCUCUGAGUUGACUUUUUUAGGGAUGAGGGUCAAUUCCACACGAGAAGCGAGCUUGGUGGUCUCUGUGACAGGGUAUUGAGAGAUGAAUGAUUGACUAGCAGUCGGGUAAAGAGUAAGGACCUUUGCAGGGACAUAUUGUCCAGCAACAAACAGCUGAGCAAGGUCGGGUGCGGAAGACUCGUCGUCCGACUCUUCUUCACCUUCGUCCACAACCAUGGCUUCUUCGGCAGUGAGAAGCUGGGUUAAAGUGUCGGAGAUCUCGGUGAUAGGGACGUGCGCGAGGAGGUUAUUGGGAAGGGACAGAAUAAGAUGGAGAGGUAAAAUAGUGUGGACACGAGCGAGGACGUGAGUGCCAGGGACCAAUCGCUAGUGUUCGUCAGUGACUUAUCUAUGAGACUUUUGAG
rnacentral:sRNA from 1 species